rnacentral:rRNA from 1 species
UACGUAGGGGGCAAGCGUUGUCCGGAAUUAUUGGGCGUAAAGAGCGUGUAGGCGGCCCGGCAAGUCCGCCGUGAAAGUCCAGGGCUCAACCCUGGAAUGCCGGUGGAAACUGUCGGGCUUGAGUUCGGAAGAGGCGAGUGGAAUUCCUGGUGUAGCGGUGAAAUGCGCAGAUAUCAGGAGGAACACCAAUGGCGAAGGCAGCUCGCUGGGACGACACUGACGCUGAGGCGCGAAAGCGUGGGGAGCAAACAGG